AUGGAGAUCGAGCUCUGGCUGAUAUGGGCGACGCUCGCGGUCGUCUCGCUCCUCUACUACCUGGCCAACCCGACACGCCGUGCGGGCAUCCAGCGGAUGCCGCCGGGCCCCACGCCGCUGCCCGUCAUCGGCAACCUGCUCUGCCUGCGCGGCGGCAACCUCCACCACACCCUCGCGCGACUGGCGCGCGCCGACGGCCCCGUCAUGACGCUCAAGCUCGGCCUCACCACCGCUGUCGUGGUGUCCUCGCGCGACGCGGCCCGGGAGGCGUUCACGAGGCAGGACCGGCGUCUGGCCGCCCGCGCCGUCCCGGACGCGGCGCGCGGCCUCGGCUUCGCCGACAGGUCCAUGGUGUGGCUGCCCAGCUCCGACCCGCUCUGGAAGAGCCUGCGCGGCAUCGCGGCCGCCCACGCCUUCUCCCCGCGCGCGCUCGCUGCGGCCCGCGGCGUCCGCGAGCGCAAGGUGCGCGACAUGGUGAGCUACUUCCGCGGCUGCGCCGGGACGGAGGUGGACGUCGGCCAGGCCAUGUACGCCGGCGUGCUCAACCUCGUGUCCAGCGCCCUCUGCUCCGUCGACGUGGUCGACAUGGGCGCCGCCGAGUCCGGGCAGGGCGUGCGGGAGCUCGUGGAAGACCUCGUCGCGGUGAUCGCCAAGCCCAACGUCUCCGACCUUGUCCCUUUCCUCCGGCGGCUCGACUUGCAAGGGUGGCGUCGCUGGUCGGCGAUACGCAUCGGGAAAAUCUUCCGCAUAUUGGACGGCAUAAUCGAUAGUCGUAUGGCAUUCAACACCUCCACGGAGGAGAAGCACGGUGACUUCCUGGACGUGCUCCUCGAGCUCUUCUCCACAGGCAAGAUCGCCCGCGACAGUCUGACGACCAUACUGUUCGACCUCUUUACGGCCGGGAGCGACACCAUGGCCAUCACCGUCGAGUGGGCAAUGGCGGAGCUGCUCCGGAACCCAGGCGUCAUGGCAAAGGUCCGCGCGGAGAUAGACGACACUCUCGGCGGCAAGGAGACCAUCGUCGAGACCGACGUGGCGGGCCUGCCGUACCUCCAGGCCGUGGUGAAGGAGGCCAUGCGGCUGCACCCGGUGGCGCCGAUACUGCUGCCGCACCGGGCCGAGGAGGAAGGCGUGGAGAUCGGCGGCUACGCGGUGCCCAAGGGCUCGACGGUCAUCUUCAACGUGUGGGCGAUAAUGCGGGACCCGGCGGCGUGGGAGAGGCCCGACGAGUUUGUGCCAGAGAGGUUCCUGGGCAGGGCGGAAGCGGACCAGGUGCUGGACUUUCGGGGCAAGGCGUUCGAGUUCAUCCCGUUCGGGUCCGGCCGGAGGCUGUGCCCUGGCGUGCCCAUGGCGGAGCGCGUCGUGCCGUUCAUCCUGGCCUCCCUGCUGCGCGCGUUCGAGUGGCGGCUGCCGGACGGCAUGUCGGCGGAGGAGCUGGACGUGAGCGAGAGGUUCACCACCGCCAACGUGAUGGCUGUCCCGCUCAAGGCCGUGCCCGUCGUGGUCACCUAA
rnacentral:rRNA from 1 species